CGAACGCUGGCGGCAUGCCUAACACAUGCAAGUCGAACGCUAUUUAUAGAGUGGCGCACGGGUGAGUAACGCGUGGGAACCUGCCUUUUUCUGCGGGAUAACGGUUGGAAACGACCGCUAAUACCGCAUACGCCCUACGGGGGAAAGGUCCGCCGGAGAAAGAGGGGCCCGCGUCUGAUUAGCUAGUUGGUAGGGUAACGGCCUACCAAGGCGACGAUCAGUAGCUGGUCUGAGAGGAUGAUCAGCCACACUGGGACUGAGACACGGCCCAGACUCCUACGGGAGGCAGCAGUGGGGAAUAUUGGACAAUGGGGGCAACCCUGAUCCAGCAAUGCCGCGUGUGUGAUGAAGGCCUUAGGGUUGUAAAGCACUUUCACUGGCGAAGAUGAUGACGGUAACCAGAGAAGAAGCCCCGGCUAACU
rnacentral:rRNA from 1 species